rnacentral:rRNA from 1 species
AUUGAACGCUGGCGGCAGGCCUAACACAUGCAAGUCGAGCGGAUGAAGGGAGCUUGCUCCUGGAUUCAGCGGCGGACGGGUGAGUAAUGCCUAGGAAUCUGCCUGGUAGUGGGGGAUAACGUCCGGAAACGGGCGCUAAUACCGCAUACGUCCUGAGGGAGCAAGUGGGGGAUCUUCGGACCUCACGCUAUCAGAUGAGCCUAGGUCGGAUUAGCUAGUUGGUGGGGUAAAGGCCUACCAAGGCGACGAUCCGUAACUGGUCUGAGAGGAUGAUCAGUCACACUGGAACUGAGACACGGUCCAGACUCCUACGGGAGGCAGCAGUGGGGAAUAUUGGACAAUGGGCGAAAGCCUGAUCCAGCCAUGCCGCGUGUGUGAAGGAGGUCUUCGGAUUGUAAAGCACUUUAAGUUGGGAGGAAGGGCAGUAAGUUAAUACCUUGCUGUUUUGACGUUACCAACAGAAUAAGCACCGGCUAACUUCGUG